CGACCUCAGAUUAGGUGGGAUUCCCCGCUGAAUUUAAGCAUAUUAGUAAGCGGUGGAAAAGAAACCAACAGGGAUUCCCUUAGUAGCUGCGAGUGAACAGGGAUUAGCCCAGCACUGAAUCCCAAAAGCAUUGCUUUUAGGGAAAUGUAGUGUUUGGGAGGGCUCAAUUAACCCCAAGAUAUGUGCAUUUCGCCCAAGUCCAUCUUGAACGAGGCCACGGUCCCGAGAGGGUGCCAGGCCCGUUGUUGGCAAAUGUCUAUUUCGGGUGGGCCUCUCCUUAGAGUCGGGUUGCUUGAGAGUGCAGCCCUAAGUAGGUGGUAAACUCCAUCUAAGGCUAAAUACAACCACGAGACCGAUAGCGAACAAGUACCGUGAGGGAAAGUUGAAAAGAACUUUGAAGAGAGAGUUCAAGAGUACGUGAAACCGCUCAGGGGUAAACGGAAAAGACCUGAAUAUCCGGAAGGGGAGAUUCACGUCUUACCAUUUGCUCAACUUUUAAAUGAUUUGAGAUGGCCUCUCGCCCUAUUCAGUGUAACAGCUGUGAUAGUGGGUUUGGUCGCUCUCAUUUGAAUAGCAAGGGUAAUGGUGGACCGCACUUCUCCCUUAGUAGGACGUUGUGACCUGUCAAUAAAUAUUCUAAGUAUUUGGCUAUUAUGUCUGUUCUAAGUUAUACCGUUAAGGUAUUUUCUUUAAAACAGUUUUAGCCGUUUUAUAUACUGGAUAAAAUUGACAGUAACGAAUUAUGGUGUUGAGCCACAUGAAAUUAUAUAUAUGUAAAAAUAUAUAUAAUGGAAAGUGUCCUAAAAUAUGGCUGUUUGCAAGUGGGUUGGUAAAAAAUAGUUUCAAUUCGGAUUUUUAACCGGUUAACUAUUCCGCCUACUGUUGGUAAACUGUUCCUAGGACUGUGCUUAUUAUCACCGGUCGGCAACGAUUCAGGUUCAGGCUCUUAUCCGACCCGUCUUGAAACACGGACCAGGAGUUUAGCGUGUACGCAAGUCAUUGGGCCUAUAAACCCAUAGGCAAAAUGAAAGUAAAGAGUUGGAGUUUUGUAAAUUUUUACAUUCUCUACUUUAGGGAAGAUGGAAAAUAUUGUGCAGCAAUGUAUAAGAUUUUCCCGCAUUGCAGGGCGCUUGAUUCUUGCUUUGCAAGUCAAUGCGCACCUAUAGCGUACACGCUGAUACCCGAAAGAUGGUGAACUAUGCCUGGCCAGGACGAAGCCAGGGGAAACCCUGGUGGAGGUCCGCAGCGAUUCUGACGUGCAAAUCGAUCGUCGGAGCUGGGUAUAGGGGCGAAAGACCAAUCGAACCAUCUAGUAGCUGGUUCCCUCUGAAGUUUCCCUCAGGAUAGCUUGCACUCGGUUGAGACGAGUCUCAUCCGGUAGAGCGAAUGAUUAGAGGCAUUGGGGUCGAAACGACCUCAACCUAUUCUCAAACUCCAAAUAGAUGAGAUCCCCGGCUUUCUUAAAAGUGAAGCCGUGGGAAUAGGAUCAGAGUGCCAAGUGGGCCAAUUUUGGUAAGCAGAACUGGCGCUGUGGGAUGAACCAAACGCAGAGUUAAGGCGCCUAAAUUGACGCUCAUGUGAAACCAUGAAAGGCGUUGGUUGCUUAAGACAGCAGGACGGUGGCCAUGGAAGUUGGAAUCCGCUAAGGAGUGUGUAACAACUCACCUGCCGAAGCAACUAGCCCUGAAAAUGGAUGGCGCUGUAGCGUCGUGCCUAUACUCUGCCGUCAAUGACAAAGAUGAUUAAUAAGCUGUGUGUUAAUUAAUGUUGUAGUCUUGACUGCAGUAUUGUUAAUUACAAAGUUUAUUACUAUAUCAUCAUUAUGUCUUGAUGAGUAAGAGGGCCGCGGCGAUGAGCGCAGAAGGGUCUGGGCGAGAGCCCGCCUGGAGCCGUCGCUGGUGCAGAUCUUGGUGGUAGUAGCAAAUACUCCAGCGAGGCCCUGGAGGACUGAUGUGGAGAAGGGUUUCUUGUGAACAGCUGUUGCACAAGAGUCAGUCGAUCCUAAGCCCUAGGAGAAAUCCGAAGCGAUAUGCGCCCGUUAAAUAAUUUUUUUUUAUUAAAUGUUUGGCGCUAUCUGGGCGAAAGGGAAUCCGGUUCCUAUUCCGGAACCCGGCAGCGGAACCGUUCCAAAUCGGGCUCUCAUUUGAGAACUCGUCGGGGUAACCCGACAAGACCCGGAGACGCCGUAGGGAAAUUCGGAGAGAGUUGUCUCUUCUCUAUAAGCGUUCGAGUUCCCUGGAAACCUCUAGCAGGGAGAUAGGGUUUGGAACGCGAAGAGCACCGCAGUUACGGCGGUGUCCGGAUCUUCCCUACGGACCUUGAAAAUCCGGGAGAGGGCCACGAGGAACCCCGCGCCGGCUCGUACCCAUAUCCGCAGCAGGUCUCCAAGGUCAAUAGCCUCUAGUCGAUAGAAUAAUGUAGGUAAGGGAAGUCGGCAAAUCCGAUCCGUAACUUCGGGAUAAGGAUUGGCUCUGAGGACUGAGUCGUGCCGGGCUUGGUC
rnacentral:rRNA from 1 species